GCUGGGCGCUGUGGCGCGUGCCUGUAGUCCCAGCUACUCGGGAGACUGAGGUGGGAGGAUCGCUUGAGCCCAGGAGCUCUGGGCUGCAGUGCGCUAUGCUGAUCGGGUGUCUGCACUAAAUUUGGCAUCAAUAUGGUGACCUCCUGGGAGCGGUGGACCACCAGGUUGCCUAAGGAGGGGUGAACGGGCCUAGGUCGAAAACGGAGCAGGUCAAAAAUCCCGUGCUGAUCAGUAGUGGGAUCGCGCCUGCCACUGCACUCCAGCCUGGGCAACAUAGCGAGACCCUGUCUCU
rnacentral:SRP_RNA from 1 species